CCCGGGCCUUGUACACACUGCCCGUCACACCACGAGAGUUGAGUCUUCCAGAAGUCGUUUCACUAAGAGACGCCCAAGGAAGGAUCGAUGAUUGGGGUG
rnacentral:rRNA from 1 species